rnacentral:rRNA from 1 species
AUGGAGAUGACGAUGGCCAUGGUGGACGAUGAUGCACCCCCCACAUGGUUCCAUCAAGAUGAAGAUGACAAUGAGACGAUCUUAACCACCUCACCUACAACACAUGAGCGACGCUCCAACGGUAACAUAGGUGAUGGUGCUGCUCUAGUCCCACUAGUGGACAUUCUUGAGAUUGAUUGCUUGCAUGAUGUUGACCCACCUAUUACCAUGCUUCAUGCUAGUGAAACUUCUUCAUGCCUUGACUUACCUAUUUACGAUGAAUAUGAUGAUGAGCAUAUUGAGUUGCCAAGUUGUGAUGCUAUGCUUCAUAAGAUAUCAUGUGAAAAUUCUAUUGGUCACAUCAUGUUUGAUAAUCCGCUUGACUUGUCAUAUGCUAUGCAUGAGAUCAACCAUAUGUCUUAUUUGCAAUCUCUUCAUAGUGACUAUGCAUAUGCCAUUAAAAUAAACCCAAUUUGCACAUAUGGCAUAGAUGACAAGCCCAUGGUUAUUGGCAUUUGUUUCUCUUGUGAUGAUAUUGAUAUGCUCCCUUUGCAUCAUUUAUCUAAUAUGCCAGGCCAUGACCACCUAGCUUUGGAUAUGCAUUGUUUACCAUGUUGUCAAUAUUCUCCACGUGAUGUUUCUACUCUUGCUCAUGAGGAGACCCCCAUAGUUUCCUCAUACAUAUUAGGAGAUCUUGAUGCAUUUCAUCCUUUGCAUGAUUUCCAUGAUUGCUUGCACCAUAUGCAUUCCAUGAAUAAUAAUGCUCUAGAUAUUUCUCAUGAUGCAUUACAUCCUUUGAGUCUCCAUUAUACCAUACAUAAUGACAAACCUCUCAUGAUGGAUGACAUGUUUCUAUAUCAUGCAUCUCAUUUAUUUGAGCAUUGGCUAUUUAGUGCUAACCAACACAUGCACGUGUGCAUCAUGAUGGAUGAUGUGUACAUAUACCAUGCACAUACAAUUUUCUCUUUGUCUUUGUUUUGUGUAGGUACUCAUGUAUACUCGUCAACCUCUCAAUCCCAAGAGUUGACGAAACGAGCUCUUGAGAGCAACGAUGGCUUGGGAUCCCGUGGACAAUCCUUACCACCGUUCCCUUUGCGCAAGGACUACGCACAUCUCUUCUACUUGGCUCUCACACGGCUAUGGGCUAUUUACCACUUGUCACCUUAUGCCCAUACUAUCGUGUUCACUUUGCAUGUUAUACUUGUUUCUAUGCCUUUGCCAUGCGAUUGUGACCCUUGCUUGCAUUUACCCAUGAUGCACCAUUAUGAUAUUCCUAUGUGUAUUUGCAUGCUUGGUGGAGAUCCUUGUUGCUAUUGCCAUGUUUAUCAUGUGCCCCAUGCUAUUGAUGCUAUUUUACUCAUAUCUUGCUUUCAUGCUUGUGCUAUGACAUGUGAAUUAUUCAUGCACACUAUUUGCACCAAUGACAUGCUUGCCAUGAUUCCUUCUAGUAUGUUGCAUCCUCGCACUACUAGCAUGCUUGACUUGAUCACUAUGAUUGCUUGCUUGGUUGCAUCACCCAUGUUCCACUAUUACUUUCUUUCUUGGGUUGAUGACAUAUAUGCUCAGGCCUCUCACUUGUCGCAUCAUAUGCUUACAUACCAUGCCAAAUUCCCUUGUCCUUUCUUAUGA